AGAGUUUGAUCCUGGCUCAGAUUGAACGCUGGCGGCAGGCCUAACACAUGCAAGUCGAGCGGCAGCACGGGUACUUGUACCUGGUGGCGAGCGGCGGACGGGUGAGUAAUGCCUAGGAAUCUGCCUGGUAGUGGGGGAUAACGCUCGGAAACGGACGCUAAUACCGCAUACGUCCUACGGGAGAAAGCAGGGGACCUUCGGGCCUUGCGCUAUCAGAUGAGCCUAGGUCGGAUUAGCUAGUUGGUGAGGUAAUGGCUCACCAAGGCGACGAUCCGUAACUGGUCUGAGAGGAUGAUCAGUCACACUGGAACUGAGACACGGUCCAGACUCCUACGGGAGGCAGCAGUGGGGAAUAUUGGACAAUGGGCGAAAGCCUGAUCCAGCCAUGCCGCGUGUGUGAAGAAGGUCUUCGGAUUGUAAAGCACUUUAAGUUGGGAGGAAGGGCAGUUACCUAAUACGUGAUUGUUUGACGUACCG
rnacentral:rRNA from 1 species